GUAUAUAUAGCUCAGUGGUAGAGCGCAUGCUUAGCAUGCACGAGGUCCUGGGUUCAAUCCCCAGUAUCUGCA
rnacentral:tRNA from 1 species